rnacentral:rRNA from 1 species
AGUGAACGCUGGCGGUAGGCCUAACACAUGCAAGUCGAACGGCAGCACAGUAAGAGCUUGCUCUUACGGGUGGCGAGUGGCGGACGGGUGAGGAAUACAUCGCAAUCUACUUUUUCGUGGCGGAUAACGAAGGGAAACUUAUGCUAAUACCGCAUACGACCUACGGCUGAAAGCAGGGGAUCUUCGGACCUUGCGCGAUUGAAUGAGCCGAUGUCGGAUUAGCUAGUUGGCGGGGUAAAGGCCCACCAAGGCGACGAUCCGUAGCUGGUCUGAGAGGAUGAUCAGCCACACUGGAACUGAGACACGGUCCAGACUCCUACGGGAGGCAGCAGUGGGGAAUAUUGGACAAUGGGCGCAAGCCUGAUCCAGCAAUACCGCGUGGGUGAAGAAGGACUUCGGGUUGUAAAACCCUUUUGUUGGGAAAGAAAAGCAGCAGGUUAAUACCCCGCUGUUCUGACGGUACCCAAAGAAUAAGCACCGGCUAACUUCGUG